UCUCUAGCUUAAAUUAAAACCGGACACUAAAAACAACUGUUUAAAAUCCAAAGACCUUGGCGGUGUGUCAUAUACUCGGGGGAACCUGUCCCUUAAUUCGAUAAUCCACGAAUGCUAUACCGUUUCUUGCAAUCAGCCUAUGUACGGCCGUCUAAAGCUUGCCUCUGAAAGAAGCAAGCAAUAAUAUGUCUAUCAAAGUCAGGUCAAAGUGUAGCCUAUGAAACGGAGGUGAUGGGUUACAUUUUCAAAUAAAAUCUCAAUCUUUAUUAUAAUAAAGCUUAAAGGUGGACUCGAUAGUAAUUACUAUAACCUAAUAAUUAUGAACUAGAAUCUGAUACAUGCACAAAUCGCCCGUCACUCUCGUUGAAAAAUG
rnacentral:rRNA from 1 species